CCGCCCACUUUUCGUGGCUCGGUCGCGAGAGGGAAAAUUAAUGGCGGCGCAGAAAGAGGAGGAGGAGGGGGUUGUGGUGGUGUCGUGUUCGCGGGGGAACUUCGACCUUCGGGUGUUGAAAGGAGGGACGGGAGGCUCUUCUUGGGUCCUCGGGGAGGUAGAAGGCGGUCGUGCCGUUGUUGUUGUUGCCGCAGUGGGCCUUGGGGUCUCUAGGUAUAAAGUGAGGCUGUGGUUGUGGUUGGUUUGCCUUCAAGUCGUUUCCCAUUUAUGGCCACUCAAGGCAAAGCUAUCCUGGGUUUUUUCUCUCUCAGAGGCUGAGAGAGUGUGACUUGACCAAGGUCGCCGGUGGGUUUACAAGGACGAGACGGGAUUUGAACCUGGCCUCCAGAGCCAUAGUGCCUCCAAGUCAUUUUUUCACUUGCGGCGACCCUGAGGCGAACAGGGUUUUCUUGGCGGGUUCCUUCAGAGGCUGAGAGAGUGUGACUCACCCAGUGAGUUCUCACGAUGGAGCCCUAGCGCUCAAAACACACAGCCUGCAGUAGACCAAGAAAUAAUCCCGGUUUAUACCACUUUAGCUGCUGUGGCAUUCUGGGAAUUGUGGUUUUAUGAGACGUUUAGCCUUCUGUCGGAGAUCUCUGACGCCACAACAAACUACAGUUCCACAUCAUUUUGGUUUGGCAGUUAAAGGGAGGUCAAAGGGUGUUGUUUCUGCAGCGCAGGUCGUGCUAAAAACACGGGUUUCCCUCAUUGCGCAGAAGCACCUGCAGCAGCUCCGUUUCUCACACAGAACUGGCGCUUCUGGCCCCGGUUUCCAGAAAGAGAGCAGAUCAGACACUGACUGCUCAGGAUCAAGUCCUUCUUGUGCCUAAAUGCAGAGGCAUCUUCUGAUAGUUCUAGCAUUUCUACUCUGGUGUAAAUCUUGUCUGGUUUCAUUGGCACUGGCCUCUAGGUAAGCUUACCUGGGAUUGCGACCAGAGGCCUAAAUCCGACUGUUAGUCUUGCCGAAACUUGCCCAUUUCAGUGGGAAUUUGGUGAUUGACUAAUUUGGAUUUAGGCUGGGUUGGGCAAUGUGUGAAGAUCCAGACGGGGUUGGACUGCAAUUCCCAUCAACCACACCAACAGGACCAAUGGUGAGGAAUGCUGGACAUUGCUGUCCAAUAACAAGUGGAGCGUCAUCUGCGCAUAAUUUACUCUCAUGUGUGUAUAUAUAUACCAGCACUACUCUCCCUUUUUGGUAAAUAGGUUAGGAUUACAGCCCUAUCCACUAGCAUUAAUGUAAAUUCCAUUUGUUGCAUAGACAUUGCUAGAUUGAAAUAAGUAAUUCAAAAGUAAUUUGUUAAAUAGAUGUGAGCAAAAAGGCACCUUUAGCUAACAUCCUGAAACCUAAAUUGAUGUUUUCUUGAUGCUGAAAACAUUUGGGCUCCUCUCCAUCCUCUUAGAAAAUAUCGGCGUUAUCAGAAAUGCCAUAAAAGAACAAGCAUAGUUUGCUACGCCACAAAAAAGAAAAACAGUUCAAAAUGUUUCAGCAACUAAGCAUUUUCCAGAAAGUAUUUGUUUCCCCCUCAUUUCAAGGGAGUAAGUGUCUAUUUAUGGACCAUGAUUUGAAUUAAUAAAUUUUUGUGGCAGAUAGUUGGAUUUGAUUACUAUUAAGGAUCUUCUGCAAGGUUUUGGGAAAGUACAGUGGAAUAACAUUUAUUUGUUUAAAUAACUUGUUAAAUUUUUAAAAUUCAAAACAGGUCUCAGAGUGGCUGAUGAUCCCUGCCCUCAGUCUUUCCAAUGUAUAAGUUACAGCGCCCAAGGAAAGAAAGGGAUGUGAGAAGAGGAGCAGAAAUGCCAGCACAGGCACCACUUCUUGAAAUUACUGUCCUUAUCACAAACAACUUGGAUGGAAAUAUUGCAUUGAGCUGAUGAAAUGGCAGCUGGCCAGGGUACCCUUGAAUCCAUUGAUUUUCGGAGUCAAGAAGAGAUUAAAGAAGUAGGCCCUUGAAUUGUCACAAAGCAAAGAAAUAGUCUAUAGUGGAUUUUGGUUUUGCUGAAGCAUUCCUUGAAGCUUACAAUCUAAAAAGACACGACACAAAAGGAGAAGCG